rnacentral:rRNA from 1 species
GACGAACCGAGCGAACGUUGUUCGGAAUCACUGGGCUUAAAGGGCGCGUAGGCGGGUGCUCAAGUCCGUGGUGAAAUCCUCCGGCUCAACCGGAGAACUGCCUCGGAUACUGGGCGUCUCGAGUGUGGUAGGGGUAUGCGGAACUAUCGGUGUAGCAGUGAAAUGCGUAGAGAUGUGGAGGAACACCGAUGGCGAAGGCAGCCCCCUGGGCCAAUACUGACGCUCAUGCACGAAAGCGUGGGGAGCAAACAGG